rnacentral:rRNA from 1 species
UACAGAGGUCUCAAGCGUUGUUCGGAUUCAUUGGGCGUAAAGGGUGCGUAGGCGGCGCGGUAAGUCGGGUGUGAAAUCUCGGAGCUUAACUCCGAAACUGCAUUCGAUACUGCCGUGCUUGAGGACUGGAGAGGAGACUGGAAUUUACGGUGUAGCGGUGAAAUGCGUAGAUAUCUGGAGGAACACCGGUGGCGAAGGCGGGAUCCUGGGCCAGUACUGACGCUGAGGAGCGAAAGCGUGGGGAGCAAACAGG